rnacentral:tRNA from 1 species
AAAAAGAUAAGCUAAAAUUUAAGCUAUUAGGUUCAUACCCUAAAUAUAGGUUAACCCUUCUUUUUA